CACUGGUUUCAAAAGCCACCCGCGUUGUGUUUUAUGUUGAUAUCACCGGAACUGACAGCGGCCGCGGCGCGAGGUGAGACGCGUUGCCACGUGACAACGGUACAGUCUGAGGCGACUGUCGGCUUUUCAGGGAUGAGAAAUACAGCUAGACCCAAGAAGACGACAGACAGAAGCAUCAGCAUCGCAGAACUGCUGUGUCUCGGGAGGGAGUCAACCAGAGGAGCUGAUGGAGAGAGAGACUUUGUAUCAGUUCAUACAAAAGCCUGUGUAAAAAGGAUUAAAGAACACCAAUGACCGCAUCGCAAGACUUUUCCUGUGACAUCAUUUGACAAGACUCCCUUCAGCGCUCUCAGAGGGAUUUUUUCCCAGCACUGGCAACCCUUGAAAAUCAUUCACGGGAGUCUUAUACCCUCUGGCUGUAUAUUUCCUCCUGUGACCGUACUGAUGAAAGAAAGCCCCAUGAUUCCUUUGACCUUUUCUGGGAGCAUCUUAAAAAGCUUUCUGGAAAAGAAUGUGAAACGGCUAGGCCAGGCUGUGUUUCGAUGUUGAAGUGAGCUGUGGGUAAUAGCACAGACCACGCAUCACAUGACUCGGUUUACUCUGUUCUAGGUACAGCUAUUAUCGCCACAAGGCAUUAGUAACCCCUACCAAGUGGCUGGAAAUACACAGCAACCAGCGCUUUUAUAACACGUAAUAGUACAUGAACCAGGUGAACUCUGGUCUACAAAAUAUUGACGUUCUGAUGCUUUAAUAAAUGUAUGAUCUAUCACUUUAUUAGGUGUGGGAAAUUCAAAAAAUAAACAACCCUGCUAAAAAAACCAUAGAAAACCAACAUUAAAAUUACGAACCAUUAGCUUUUUCCAUUAAAACCAUUACAAAAUUAUUUCUGGUGUGUGUUUUGGACAUUAUUCUAAAAGGAUUAAUCUGCCAGAUAACACCCUACCAAUAGAGUCCAUCACAUACCAGUCGACACUAUUAUAGUUCCCAUUAAAACCAAUACAAUUCCCAUUAUAAUCAGUAAAUCAUAACAUUUUCAAUUGUGUUUUGGGCAGGGUUUUGACCCUUAUGAAUGUACCUUCUGUAAGAAAGUUAGUUAGAAACCAUUCUCACCGUUUCACUGAGCGAGUCGCUUUGGUACAAAAAGUGGAACCACUUUGGAUGAAAAACCAGUUUUUAAAUUUUAUAAAAAUGGAUUUUUAAUCAAAACUCAGCCUAAUAAAAACAGCAGACACAGAACCAAAAUCCUUUCAGCUGAGAUGUUCUUGCCAGGUCAUGAUUGCUGGUGAGCAAUUAUUCAAUUAUCUUCCAUAAGGCUUUCAGCGUCCCCAGUGGAGCUAAAAGUGCGAAUCUCUCAACAAUAUAUAGUCCUGACAAGCCUCUCUGGACCCAAGAAAACAAUCAUCAUAAUUACCCAAAAGAAUCUGAGGAACAAUAUACGGCACCUAACAGGGCCUGAGGAGGGAAAUCAACAGAAACAAGGCUUUUCAAUUCAAUCAAGUGUGAGCAGGCGUGUGCCACAGAUGUCCUCUAAUUCUUUUUAAGAUUCAUAUUUUUAAAAGCUGUAAAAAUGAAUGUAAUGUGAUUCU